CACAUGCCUGUAAUCCCAGUUAAUUGAGAGGCUGAGGCAGGAAGGUGGCUUGAGUCCAGAAGUACUAGGCUGCAGUACGCUAUGAUCAUGCUUGUGAAUAGCCACUGCACUCUAGCCUGGGCAUCAUAGCAAGACCCCCAUUUUAAAAGAAAGAAGGAGAGAAAGAAAAAGAAAGAAAAAUGGAAAGAAAAAGAAGGAAGGAGAGAGGAAGAAAGAAAGAAAAGAAAGAAACAAUGUUAAGCAUUUGAUGGAAAGUUUGGGGUUAAAUUAGUGAUAUACACAGAAAAUGUUUGCUAAAACCAACAAAAACCAACUCCAGGGAAGCAAAAGUUUUAGCCAAAAUGAAAAGAAGAAUUAUAUAUACUACAGAGCUUCACUAUAACUAACAUAAAUACUAAGUAUUAAUCUAAUCAAAAUUUUGAUAUAAAGAUAGUAAGUAGAUGAAAAGAUGGGAAGGGUGGAUGUGUGGGAUGGGGCGGGAGAGGGUGGUGAAAGAAAGCUGUGCCCUUGUAUUCCACAGUGAGAAGUCAUGGAAAAUGCCUACACUUGAAUAAUCAAAUUAAUAACAUAAGCAAAUAUAGCGUUAAAAAGUUGUGGAAGUAAACAUCAAAACCACCAACCAACAAAUUAAUCAAAUGAGCAAAACAAAAUUUCUGAAAACAUUGAAUGUGGCCGCCUUUGGAGUGGAGAGAAAUAUACUGAGGGGAGGAACAAGGGACCAUUAUUUUUCACGUCAAACCUUAUUUAAAGCUUAUUUAAACCAUGACCUUGUAUAACUUUGGUUAAGGCAAACAAAAAUUAAAUUAUUUAACUACAUAAAAUAUAUUUAAGGACCUAAUAAUCACUAAAAGUAAGGAAAUUUGUUUGCCUCAGGGUGAUGACAACUGCUUGUUGUAUUUACAAAGUCAAGAUUUUGGUUUAGUGGUAAGUUCUGAUAAGGACUGUUGUAUGGGAGUUUCUAAACAGAUGAGGCAUUCCCUUUCCUGGAGCUAUGGGGGACCAGCAAUCAACGCUCAAUAGCCUGGCAUGGUUUAGGUGCAGUAAUAGAGUAAGGCUGUGUGCAUUUCCCUGUCUCAUUUAGGUUCCUUAUAAUUCUGUGGGCCUCCAGCGGUGGUGUGGUGUGAAGACAAAGCACUGGAUUUGUAGACACACAGACCCCAAGUCAAAUGCCAGCUCAAUCAUAUACUAUUUAUGUGACCUCAGAAGUGACCCAACCCCUCUGAACCUUAAUUUCCUCAUCCGUAAAAUGGGGCCAUGUGAUAUCCGCCUCAUGUGCUAAGCCAUUAAAUGAGCUUAUGUUUGUAAAGUAUCUGGCAGAUGCUCAAAAAAUAUCAGUUCCUUCCUCUCUGAAGUAGUGAAUCUCCUCACAGAUUCAGAGCAGUAAUCAUUUGAAUCAUAUGAUGAUAAUGUAUAUUCAUCUCUAAUGCAAUCAGGUAGGGAAUUAAAAUACAUAUUUAAAUAUCUUCUUGUUUUAACUUUUACAUGAUACAAAACAACCAGUUUUCCUAUCCUAGAAAGAUAUGCUUUAAAUAUAAUUUAUUUAGCCCAAUUAGAUAACUAUUUUGAUGUCCCGUAGACACAACUUGAGUGCUUAUGUCUCACAUAUGGCCUAGUACUGUGAGAAGACUUCAGAAAUGCUCAAGGCCUGUAGGUGAUGGAAUAGUCAAAAUAUGCCCCAUCCAGCCAGUCUCCCAAAUUGCUACAUAACCCCUUGAGACCCUGUGAAUCAUAGUUUAUAAGCAACUAUUCAUAAAUAUAGGCAUUUUCCCCAGGGUGUUUUUUAUAUGAGGUUGCUAAAGAUCAACUUAAAUAUGUGUAUAUAUUUUCUUUGCUAAGUAUUAACUCUAACACCUGACUCACAAAGGUGGAGGGAGGGGGGAAGGAAAAAUCCGCUAAGUUACAGAGGCCAGAGAGACCCCUUGCAGAGAGAGGAUGGCAAAGAAAGUCAACCUUUAAGAAAGGCCUCCCUAAGGAACAAGGACCGUGUGGUCCUGUGAUCCUCUGUAAUCUAAGUGCCAAGACUUAGUGCCAAGAAUAAAUGAUCCUGGUUGAUGAAGAGCAAUCUGCCACUUCUAAGCUUUGAUCAAAGAUCAGAAAACCAUCUCGGUGUUGCUGCGUCUGACAUCUGCUCACAUUUUCACAGUUUAGUGCCUAUAACAGGAAGUGCCUAUUUUCACCUUGAAAUUCUUUCAUUCAGUAGAAAUGUUUUUUGUUUUAAAUAAUUUAAAAAUAUAACCAGUGAGCAUCUUAAAUUUCCAUAAUUGGCUCACAGUAAAAUAGAUUUCUCACCUCUGAUUUAGGUGAAAUAACUUUGUUUCUGCUUUAUAUUAUUCUACUUUCUCUACCUCAAACAGGAACAAAAAUUCUUUUAAUAAUCAAUUGAGCUCCUCAGUUUCUUUAAUUGAACACUUGCCAGAUUCUGGGGAUACUAAGAUGACUGUGAAAGAGUAUCUUCCCUGGAGGAACUCAGUUUCUAUUCGGGAGUGAUAGUGGGGAGAGGGGAACCCAGAUUUGGAAAGAGACAAAGGUGAUAAGAAUGACAAUAAAAGUAUGUACAAAGGUUAAGAUAACACAAAAGAUAGAAAGGCCAACCCCGGAGCUUUCCAAAAAGGCUUACACAGAAGAGAUAAAGUUGUGGUUUGAUUUCCCAGGCCUUGUGAGAGCUUGCCAGUCAGGCAGAGACACUGAAGAUACUCAUGAAGGACAGUGAAGAAACAGAGCUUAGAACCAAACAGUAUGUUUGCAGAGUGGCACAAAGCUCCAUGUGGUUGUGUUAAGCAGUGAAUGUGGGAAGGUAGUAGGAGGUGAGAACCAAGAAACAAGAGAUAGAACAUUCCAUAGAUAAAUAACAGGAGUGACAGGCUCCCAGAUGCAUUGUCAAGAGAACAUAUGAUGGCAAGGAUGGGCUGGAGUGAGAUGAGAGCCUAUUUAGAAGUAGUCCAGGUAAGAGAUGUGGAGGUCCCAAAUUAUGGCAAUAACAUAUCAAAGAUGGAUGAUAAUUAAUUAUAAAUCAUCUAAAAAUGUGAACUACCAUGUAAAACCAUACAAAGAUAUUAAUUAUUGAUAUUACUUUUCUGCAUGACCUUGGAGUCUGUUGUGGCAACCCACCCCUAGUUUAGUAAAUACUUGCUGUGGCCAAGCCAAAUGCACAAUGCCAUCUACAGUAGGCACGUGCUACCAUUACACGCCUUCUCAUGACUUCCCAGGAUUUACUAGGAAGGCUAUUUGUGGAACAAGCUCAUUUUAGCUUCUUAAAUAUCAUAAAAUAAACUGAGAUUGCCCAUUUUAUUUUAAGUAUGCUGCAGAAGACAAUUAACUUUGUUUCCAGCACAAAAUAUAAUGCCAAUAUAACUUUUGUGAAACGUAAAAUGGUGAAAUUUAAGGAUAUGGCUGAAGAUACCCAUGGUUUUAUAGGCUUUUCACUUAGAUGAAUGAAUGGAUGACUUUGCCACAGCAUUUUCAGCAUUCCAGGCUUGUGAUAAAAUGGAAUCCAGUUCAAGUUUCUUUUAACCUUCAUUUUUAGGAACCCGUGAUUACAUAUAUAAACAUUUAUCAAUAUACAUGUUUGGAGUUGACAGUGAUUUAACAUUUUGACCAAAUACCUGUGCUAAAUUCAUUCAUGAGACAGCUGAGGAAAUCAUUUCUGGAAUAAUUUUUACUGUUCUUCAGUGUUCCUCAGGCAGGAAGCCACAGGAAACAAUGUAUUGUGGUGCAUAUUUCCCUGCAGGAUUUGGUAUGUCAUUCACUGUGGAGAAUUUUGCUUUCCAGCUGCCUAUAAUUCACAUUUUUGUACUUGCUUUUCCCUCCAGGAUAAUUUGAUGAAGUCAGUUCCUCAGAGAUAGAAAAUGUCUUUCUAUUUUUUUAAGACCAGAUUUGUUUCUUUUCCCAACUGAGAGAUAAACUUGAUUAAAAAGAAAACAUGUAAGUAGCCAGGAUUAAUUAUUUUGACAUAUGAAAUAACCAUGAUCGCAAUAUGAAAUAGUCAUUAGAUAAUUUUAAUAAUCUAGUAGGGUAAGUGCCUUUGGUUGAAUGAAAAUAAGGUCUGUCAAAAUUUUGGAUCAGUUUAAAAUGUAGUAAAUUAGAACCUGGAAUAUGGAAAUGAAAACCACCCUUUUUCGAGAGAACUUCACUAUUCUUUUAUUAGGUCUGAUUUCUACUUUAAAGUUUUUCUACCCUCCUUUUCCUUUCACUUCCCUGCGAAACAUUGUCCCACUAGACGAGACAUUAGACGAGAAAAUAGCAGAAUAAAAUGUUUUAAAAUCAGAACUAAUAUCCUCACGUUAAGCACGUUAAGCAACUAUUUUUUUUAAACACCUACACCAGUGGAUUUUCAACCUGCCUGUAAGAAUCACUGGAGGAACUUUUUAAAAAUGCACAGACCUUCACGCCUGUAAUUCCAGCACUUUGGGAGGCCAAGGCAGGCAGAUCACUUGAGGUCAGGAAUUCGAGACCAGCCUGGCUAACGUCGUGAAACCCUGUUUCUACUAAAAAUACAAAAAGAAUUAGCCGGGCGUGGUGGCACGCGCCUGUAUUCCAGCUACUGGGGAGGCUGAGUGAGGCAGGAGAAUCACUUGAACCGGGGAGGCGGAGGUUGCAGUGAGCCAAGAUUGCGCUAUUACACUCCAGCUUGGGCAACAAGGAUGAAACUCCGUCUCAAAAAAAAAAAAAAAAAAAAAAAAAAAAAGCACAGAUUUCACCUUCUGAAUUACUAAUCCAAUUCAUAUGAGGUGGGACCUAAGUGUUCACAUUUCUCAGAACCUCCCAGGCUGACUUUAAUGUACAGUAGAGUUGAGACCACUGGCCUCUACUGUCCUUUGCAUAGGUGUCCGUAGGCUCUUUUUCAACCUGCCAAACCGGAUUUCUCUAUCACCCACUUAAAGACUACACUUGGGGUAACAGUGAUAAUCAAGCUCUGUGGUCUCCAAAGUGAGGGGUCCAAGAUGAUCUAUUAGAGUGUGAGAAAAAUAUGAGAAGUUUAUUUUUUAAUCACAUCCUUUAAUGAUAUGUUUUUAAAAUAUUUUAUGAUGCACAUAAUGUAUUAGUACAAUAGAUUGGGGGAGGGGAGACAGAACAGAAAACACCAUUUUUCCUGUUACAUAGAUCCCCUCAUUCUCUGCUUUCAAUGAGAGCAGUUUCAACGUUGGCUUUUUGAUGUCUGCUGAUUGCUACAGACUUCUCUAGAGCUAAGUAUGGAGUUUUAUAAGACGCAUGUCCUCCACUGCACAGCUGUAUUCUAUGACCAACCACAGAACACAAUCUUUUCUUUUUUUUUUUUUUUUUGAGAUGGAGUUUUGCUCUUGUUGCCCAGGCUGGAGUACAAUGGCACGAUCUCAACUCAUCACAACCCUGCCUCCUGGGUUCCAGUGAUUCUCCUGCCUCAGCCUCCCGAGUAGCUCGGAUUACAGGCAUGCGCCACUACACCCAGCUAAUUUUGUAUUUUUAGUAGAGGUUUCUCUAUGUUGGUCAGGCUGGUCUCGAACUCCUGACCCCAGCUGAUCUGCCUGCCUUGUCCUCCAAAGUGUUGGGAUUACAGGCGUGAGCCACCGUGCCGGGCCUAGAACAGUCUUUCUUCCUAGGUCUUUGUCCUUCCCAGGGUUCCUGAUACAGCUUUACCUCCUGAUCCCUUCUCUUAGUAAAAUUUCUUCUCACCCUUCCAAAUUCUUCUAAAACACACAAGCAUUUUUGGGUACAGUAACAAGAGAGACUUUAAUAUAGAAAUGCCACCAAAAUGUCCCCCGAUGGUAAGAAUUUUUGAGUUAUAAUGACGUUGUGGUCACUUUUUUUUUUUCUAAGAUAGAGUUUCACUUUUGUCACCCAGCCUGAAGUGCAGUGGCACGAUCUUGGCUCACUGUAACCUCUGCCUCCUGGGUUCAAGCAAUUCUGCUGCCUUAGCCUCCCAAGUAACUGGGAUUAUAGGCGUGCGCCACCACACCCAGAUAAUUUUGUAUUUUUGGUAGAAAUGGGGUUUCACCAUGUUGGCCAGGCUCGUCUUGAGCUCCUGACCUCGUGAUCAGCCCGCCUCAGCCUCCCAAAGUACUGGGAUUACGGGCGUGAGCCACCGUACCCGGCCAUUAACUACAACAAUUUAAGAAAAAAACUAAUAUGAGAACGGGGAAAAUGGAUGUGGUUGAAUGACACGAUUGGCCAGGAUUAGACAAUUGUUGGAUCAGAGUACUGGGUACAUGAAGGUCAUUAUUAUAUUCUGCUUACUUUUUUGUAUGCUCAAUUUUUCAUAAUAA